rnacentral:rRNA from 1 species
UACGGAGGGUGCAAGCGUUAUCCGGAUUCACUGGGUUUAAAGGGUGCGUAGGUGGGCAGGUAAGUCAGUGGUGAAAUCCCCGAGCUUAACUUGGGAACUGCCAUUGAUACUAUUUGUCUUGAAUACCGUGGAGGUUAGCGGAAUAUGUCAUGUAGCGGUGAAAUGCUUAGAUAUGACAUAGAACACCAAUUGCGAAGGCAGCUGGCUACACAAAUAUUGACACUGAUGCACGAAAGCGUGGGGAUCAAACAGGA